rnacentral:rRNA from 1 species
UCCUACGGGAGGCAGCAGUGGGGAAUAUUGCACAAUGGGGGAAACCCUGAUGCAGCGACGCCGCGUGAGCGAGGAAGUACCUCGGUAUGUAAAGCUCUGUCAGCAGGGAAGAAAAUGACAGUACCUGACCAAGAAGCCCCGGCUAACUACGUGCCAGCAGACGCGGUAAUACGUAGGGGGCAAGCGUUAUCCGGAUUUACUGGGUGUAAAGGGAGCGUAGACGGCAGUGCAAGUCUGGAGUGAAAGGCGGGGGCUCAACCCCCGGACUGCUCUGG